rnacentral:rRNA from 1 species
AAUGGGCGAAAGCCUGACGCAGCGAUGCCGCGUGAGUGAUGACGGUUUUCGGACUGUAAAGCUCUUUUAUUAGGGAAGAUAAUGACGGUACCUAAAGAAAAAGUCCCGGCUAACUCCCUGCCAGCAGCCGCGGUAAUACGGAGGGGGCGAACGUUAUUCGGAUUUACUGGGCGUAAAGCGACUGUAGGCGGUCUUGCAAGCCAGAUGUGAAAUCCCCGGGCUUAACCUGGGAAUUGCAUUUGGAACUGCAUCACUAGAGUUAUGGAGAGGUAAGUGGAAUUUCCAGUGUAGAGGUGAAAUUCGUAGAUAUUGGAAGGAACACCAGAGGCGAAGGCGACUUACUGGCCAUAUACUGACGCUGAGAGUCGAAAGCGUGGGGAGCAAACAGGAUU